rnacentral:ncRNA from 1 species
AGCUGACGAAUACUAAUCGAUCGAGGACUUAACCAAAACAUUUGAAAUNAGUAAGUAAGAUCCCUCAAAGACGAUGAGGUAGAUAGGUUCGAGGUGGAAGUGUGGUGACACAUGGAGCUGACGAAUACUAAUCGAUCGAGGACUUAACCAA